GUACUCACUUCGGCAGCACAUACACUAAAAAUUGGAACGAUACAGAGAUUAGCAUGGCCCCCGUGCAAGGAUGACACGCAAAUUCAUGGAGCGUUCCAUAAUUAA
rnacentral:snRNA from 1 species